ACCAUGCAUUCUUACAGAUUUCAUACUUAGGAGGAACUAUCCUUAUCUCCUAGAGUUUCAGGAUCUGGUCAUGAAAAUCUCCUGGGUUCCUCCCAUCAACAUAAUAUUAUCUUGGGCCUGCACUUCUCCUGCAGUUAACAGAUAGUUUUCUAAGGAAUGUGACAUAUCCUUUCCAUCUUGACCAGGCAGGACUGCAGAUUCAGUAAACAUGAUACUGCUGGUUACUGGUGACAAGUUCUGCUUCCUCACAUGUUGAAGUAUAACACUAGAGGAGUGCGCUGAGGAAGAGGAAGAGACAUCCAGGAUAUGCACACAGAGAAAUGUCAAGUGAGGAUGGUGAGAAGACAGCCAUCUGAGAGCCAGAGAGAGGUCUCAAAGGAAACCAAGUCUACAAAUAUCAGCUCUUGACUUCCAGCCUCCAGCAUGGUGAAAAAAUAAAUUUUUAUUGUUAAA